GCCUAACACAUGCAAGUCGAACGGGAAUCUGCGGCAAUGGUGGCGGAGGGGUGACUAACGGGUAAAAAUCUAGCGUCGGGACCCGUCCUGCGGUAUGUAGCGAUAGCUACUACCCUUUUCUUCGUAAAUGGCAUGUAUUAGCUGUGAAAGGGCUGGCGUCUGAU
rnacentral:rRNA from 1 species